GGAGGUGGAAGAAGAGGAGGAUGAGGAAGAUGAGACGAUAGUGGACGAUAGCCCUGACGGAGGGUGUUUCAGUACCCCCCGGAUGCAGAGGGGCAAUGGGCGUGGUGGUAGCAGUAGUUCAGGGGAGGACCUCCAGAGCCGGACCCCCUCUCCAGACGAGAGCCUGGGGGAGGAAGAGAUGGAGAAGAUGUCGUCGGUGGACACGGAAGAUGGAGAAGAUCAGGAUGUGGAUAGCAGUCUGGACAGCAGUGUGGGGUCAUCCUGAAAGAGAGGUUGGCUGAGUUGAACAGUGGCGAGGAGGAGUGGAAGGCCAAGCUGAAGAAGCCCAAGGAUCUGGUGCAGAAGUCCCUGGCUGACCGUUUCAACCAGCUCCAGGACUCUGGAGAUGCCUGGAAGAAGAAGAAGUCCAGUGCAGACGUGGG